GAUUAAGUUAUUAAGGGCGCACGGUGGAUGCCUUGGCACUAGAAGCCGAUGAAGGACGUUACUAACGACGAUAUGCUUUGGGGAGCUGUAAGUAAGCUUUGAUCCAGAGAUUUCCGAAUGGGGAAACCCAGCAUGAGUUAUGUCAUGUUAUCGAUAUGUGAAUACAUAGCAUAUCAGAAGGCACACCCGGAGAACUGAAACAUCUUAGUACCCGGAGGAAGAGAAAGAAAAUUCGAUUCCCUUAGUAGCGGCGAGCGAAACGGGAAGAGCCCAAACCAACAAGCUUGCUUGUUGGGGUUGUAGGACACUCUAUACGGAGUUACAAAGGACGACAUUAGACGAAUCAUCUGGAAAGAUGAAUCAAAGAAGGUAAUAAUCCUGUAGUCGAAAAUGUUGUCUCUCUUGAGUGGAUCCUGAGUACGACGGAGCACGUGAAAUUCCGUCGGAAUCUGGGAGGACCAUCUCCUAAGGCUAAAUACUCUCUAGUGACCGAUAGUGAACCAGUACCGUGAGGGAAAGGUGAAAAGCACCCCGGAAGGGGAGUGAAAUAGAACCUGAAACCGUGUGCUUACAAGUAGUCAGAGCCCGUUAAUGGGUGAUGGCGUGCCUUUUGUAGAAUGAACCGGCGAGUUACGAUUUGAUGCAAGGUUAAGCAGUAAAUGUGGAGCCGUAGCGAAAGCGAGUCUGAAUAGGGCGUUUAGUAUUUGGUCGUAGACCCGAAACCAGGUGAUCUACCCUUGGUCAGGUUGAAGUUCAGGUAACACUGAAUGGAGGACCGAACCGACUUACGUUGAAAAGUGAGCGGAUGAACUGAGGGUAGCGGAGAAAUUCCAAUCGAACCUGGAGAUAGCUGGUUCUCUCCGAAAUAGCUUUAGGGCUAGCCUCAAGUGAUGAUUAUUGGAGGUAGAGCACUGUUUGGACGAGGGGCCCCUCUCGGGUUACCGAAUUCAGACAAACUCCGAAUGCCAAUUAAUUUAACUUGGGAGUCAGAACAUGGGUGAUAAGGUCCGUGUUCGAAAGGGAAACAGCCCAGACCACCAGCUAAGGUCCCAAAAUAUAUGUUAAGUGGAAAAGGAUGUGGCGUUGCCCAGACAACUAGGAUGUUGGCUUAGAAGCAGCCAUCAUUUAAAGAGUGCGUAAUAGCUCACUAGUCGAGUGACACUGCGCCGAAAAUGUACCGGGGCUAAACAUAUUACCGAAGCUGUGGAUUGUCCUUUGGACAAUGGUAGGAGAGCGUUCUAAGGGCGUUGAAGCAUGAUCGUAAGGACAUGUGGAGCGCUUAGAAG
rnacentral:rRNA from 1 species